UGAACGUUACCUAAACCGUUGCUUCGGCGGGCGGCGCCGGGGUUUACCCCCCGGGCGCCCCUGGGCCCCACCGCGGGCGCCCGCCGGAGGUCACCAAACUCUUGAUAAUUUAUGGCCUCUCUGAGUCUUCUGUACUGAAUAAGUCAAAACUUUCAACAACGGAUCUCUUGGUUCUGGCAUCGAUGAAGAACGCAGCGAAAUGCGAUAAGUAAUGUGAAUUGCAGAAUUCAGUGAAUCAUCGAAUCUUUGAACGCACAUUGCGCCCGCCAGUAUUCUGGCGGGCAUGCCUGUUCGAGCGUCAUUUCAACCAUCAAGCCCCGGGCUUGUGUUGGGGACCUGCGGCUGCCGCAGGCCCUGAAAAGCAGUGGCGGGCUCGCUGUCACACCGAGCGUAAUAGCAUACAUCUCGCUCUGGGCGUGUUUUUUGUUCCGGCCGUUAAACCACCUUUUAACCCAAGGUUGACCUCGGAUCACCCCACCCACCCCCCCGCUGAACUUAAGCAUAUCAAUAAGCGAGAG
rnacentral:rRNA from 1 species